rnacentral:tRNA from 1 species
CCCCGCGUAGCUCAAUGGUAGAGCGUUCGGCUGUAGACCGAAAGGUUGACAGUUCGAGUCUGGCCGCGGGGA